rnacentral:rRNA from 1 species
UACGUAGGGCGCGAGCGUUGUCCGGAUUUAUUGGGCGUAAAGAGCUCGUAGGCGGCUUGUCGCGUCGGCUGUGAAAUCCCGUGGCUCAACUGCGGGUCUGCAGCCGAUACGGGCAGGCUAGAGUUCGGUAGGGGAGACCGGAAUUCCUGGUGUAGCGGUGAAAUGCGCAGAUAUCAGGAGGAACACCGGUGGCGAAGGCGGGUCUCUGGGCCGAUACUGACGCUGAGGAGCGAAAGCGUGGGGAGCGAACAGG